rnacentral:rRNA from 1 species
CCAGACUCCUACGGGAGGCAGCAGUGAGGAAUAUUGGUCAAUGGGCGCGAGCCUGAACCAGCCAAGUCGCGUGAGGGAUGACGGCCCUACGGGUUGUAAACCUCUUUUGUCGGGGAGCAAAUUCCGCCACGUGUGGCGGAGUCGAGAGUACCCGAAGAAAAAGCAUCGGCUAACUCCGUGCCAGCAGCCGCGGUAAUACGUAGGGAGCAAGCGUUAUCCGGAUUUAUUGGGUGUAAAGGGUGCGUAGACGGGAUUACAAGUUGGUUGUGAAACCCCUCAGCUCAACUGAGGAACUGCAACCAAAACUAUAAUUCUUGAGUGCAGGAGAGGAAAGUGGAAUUCCUAGUGUAGCGGUGAAAUGCGUAGAUAUUAGGAAGAACACCGGUGGCGAAGGCGACUUUCUGGACUGUAACUGACGUUGAGGCACGAAAGUGUGGGGAGCAAACAGGAUUAGAUACCCUAGUA